GGAUCAAAUUGUCGGUCGUGCCUCGGUACGCACUGGUAUUAUUGGUUCCUACCUUCUGAAGAACCGCGAUGUCAUUAAUUUGGUGUCGUGGGGAAUCAGGACUGUUACUUUGAAAAAAUUAGAGUGUUCAAAGCAGGCUUACGCCCGAAUACAUUAGCAUGGAAUAAUAAAAUAGGACGUUUGAUUCUAUUUUGUUGGUUUCUAGGAUUGACGCA
rnacentral:rRNA from 1 species